AUUGAACGCUGGCGGCAGGCCUAACACAUGCAAGUCGAACGAGUGGCGGACGGGUGAGUAAUGUCUGGGAAACUGCCCGAUGGAGGGGGAUAACUACUGGAAACGGUAGCUAAUACCGCAUACCAUCGGAUGUGCCCAGAUGGGAUUAGCUUGUAGGUGGGGUAAUGGCUCACCUAGGCGACGAUCCCUAGCUGGGCUGAGAGGAUGACCAGCCAAACUGGAACGGAGACACGGGCCAGACUCCGAGGGGAGGCAGCAGUGGGGAAUAUUGCACAGUUGGGGCAAGCCUGAUGCAGCCAUGCCGCGUGUAUGAAGACGGCCUUCGGGUUGUAAAGUACUUUCAGCGGGGAGGCGUUACCCGGAGAAGAAGCACCGGCUAACGCCGUGCCAGCAGCCGCGGUAAUAC
rnacentral:rRNA from 1 species